rnacentral:rRNA from 1 species
GAUUCGNAUGGGCGAAGCCUGACGCAGCGACGCCGCGUGGAGGAAGACGGCCUUCGGGUUGUAAACUCCUGUCAGGGGUGAAGAAACUUCGCAAGAAGCUGACGGUAACCCCAGAGGAAGCCCCGGCUAACUACGUGCCAGCAGCCGCGGUAAUACGUAGGGGGCAAGCGUUGCUCGGAAUUACUGGGCGUAAAGGGUGUGUAGGUGGCUGAUUAAGUCAAAGAUGAAAUCCCGAGGCUCAACUUCGGAACGGUCUUUGAUACUGGUCAGCUUGAGGCUAGUAAAGGAGAGCGGAAUUCCCGGUGGAGCGGUGAAAUGCGUAGAUAUCGGGAGGAACACCAGAGGCGUAGGCGGUUCUCUAGGCUAGUCCUGACACUGAGACACGAAAGCUAGGGGAGCAAACGGGAUUAGAUACCCCGGUAGUCCUAGCUGUAAACGAUGGACACUAGAUGUUCUCGCGUUUAUGCGGGAGUGUCGUAGCUAACGCGUUAAGUGUCCCGCCUGGGGAGUACGGUCGCAAGGCUGAAACUCAAAAAAAUUGACGGA